UCCAGCAAAUUUUUAAAAGAAGAAACCACAAAGAAAGUAUUGCAAAAUGACACCAGAUCUCAGUUUGCUGUACAUAGCUCAAAUUUCCUUACAUCAAAAGAAGGGACACAUGUCUCUUUUCCCAAUUAGAAUCCAAGAGCAAUGCAACCUCUAAUGCUAAAUUCUCUAGCCCUACAUAUACAAACAAGUACUAAUACAUAAACUCCAUCUCUCCAAGAGGCAUGUCAGUGCAUAGGGCUUCCACAUUAACUCAUCCAACUGCAGGCGCUUUUGUCAACUCAAAUCUGUACCAUAAAUAAGUUGGUGGGUAACCAAACACAGCUCUUGCAAAAAAGAAAGUAUACACACCUUUAAACAGGGGACAGGGGAAUAUAAGAUGCUCAGUUCCUAAGAGCAUGACUGCCAAAUAAACCACACAUGGAUAGUAAUAACAAGUGACAUACCUUAGUAGUAAGAUCCAGA
rnacentral:lncRNA from 1 species